rnacentral:rRNA from 1 species
GACGAACGCUGGCGGCGUGCCUAACACAUGCAAGUCGAGCGAUUUACUUCGGUAAAGAGCGGCGGACGGGUGAGUAACGCGUGGGUAACCUGCCCUGUACACACGGAUAACAUACCGAAAGGUAUGCUAAUACGAGAUAAUAUACUUUUAUCGCAUGGUAGAAGUAUCAAAGCUUUUGCGGUACAGGAUGGACCCGCGUCUGAUUAGCGUAGUUGGUAAGGUAACGGCUUACCAAGGCGACGAUCAGUAGCCGACCUGAGAGGGUGAUCGGCCACAUUGGAACUGAGACACGGUCCAAACUCCUAGAGGAGGCAGCAGUGGGGAAUAGUGCACAAUGGGCGAAAGCCUGAUGCAGCAACGCCGCGUGAGUGAUGAAGGCCUUCGGGUCGUAAAGCUCUGUCCUCAAGGAAGAUAAUGACGGUACUUGAGGAGGAAGCCCCGGCUAACUACGUGCCAGCCGCCGCGGUAA